GCCGCGGUAGCUCAGUGGCAGAGCGCAUCCCUGAAGAGGAUGGCGUCGGCAGUUCGAUUCUGCCCCGCGGCA
rfam:Parcubacteria (Giovannonibacteria) bacterium GW2011_GWA2_44_26 TW55_C0001, whole genome shotgun sequence.